GGCAUGGUAGCCAAGUGGUAAGGUGUUAGUCUUGUAAACUAAAAAUCAUGGGUUCAACCCCCAUCCGUGCCU